GACGAACGCUGGCGGCGUGCUUAACACAUGCAAGUCGAACGAAGUGGCUAACGGGUGAGUAACGCGUAAUCAACCUGCCCUUCAGAGGGGGACAACCGUUGGAAACGACUGCUAAUACCGCAUACUUACGGCGGGGAUUGCGUUUUAUUAGCUAGUUGGAGGGGUAACGGCCCACCAAGGCGAUGGUCAGUAGCCGGUCGGAGAGGAUGAACGGCCAAAUUGGGACUGUGAAACGUCCCAGACUCCUACGGGAGGAAGCAGUGGGGAAUCUUCCGCAAUGGACGAAAGUCUGACGGAGCAACGCCGCGUGAGUGAUGACGGCCUUCGGGUUGUAAAGCUCUGUUAAUCGGGACGCGGUACCGGAAUAGAAAGCCACGGCUAACUACGUGCCAGCAGCCGCGGUAAUUC
rnacentral:rRNA from 1 species